rnacentral:rRNA from 1 species
UACGGGGGGGGCAAGCGUUGUUCGGAAUUACUGGGCGUAAAGGGCUCGUAGGUGGCCAACUAAGUCAGACGUGAAAUCCCUCGGCUUAACUGGGGAACUGCGUCUGAUACUGGAUGGCUUGAGUUUGGGAGAGGGAUGCGGAAUUCCAGGUGUAGCGGUGAAAUGCGUAGAUAUCUGGAGGAACACCGGUGGCGAAGGCGGCAUCCUGGACCAACACUGACACUGAUGAGCGAAAGCCAGGGGAGCAAACGGG